rnacentral:miRNA from 1 species
CGGUAUCUUUGUGAAAAAUUUCG